rnacentral:tRNA from 1 species
UAUGGUGUAGUGUUAAGGCACACAAAGUUUUGGACUUUGAAGUGAUGGGUUAAAUUGUCCUCCAUAA